rnacentral:rRNA from 1 species
UACGUAGGGGGCUAGCGUUGUCCGGAAUUAUUGGGCGUAAAGAGCGUGUAGGCGGCCUAGUAAGUCCGACGUGAAAUCUGGAGGCUCAACCUCCAGCGGUCGUUGGAAACUACUCGGCUAGAGUCCGGAAGAGGAGAGUGGAAUUCCUGGUGUAGCGGUGAAAUGCGCAGAUAUCAGGAAGAACACCGAUGGCGAAAGCAGCUCUCUGGGACGGUACUGACGCUGAGACGCGAAAGCGUGGGGAGCGAACAGG